UUGCCUAAUUUAUUGGUUGUUGAUGGUUGUGAAUGUUUGGUCUUUAAAUAUCAACUUUGUUGUAGGACUUUCACAUAGAUUUUGAUCCUUUGUGGUGCAAAAUAUGCUUAUUUUGCAAUGUGUUAGUGAAGGUCGAAGUUUCAACAACUAGGGAGAGCAUACUAGAUGUACAAGUGAUUGCAGGCAAGGAUCAAAAUUGUAAGGCUAGAAAUAGUAGAGAAGUAUUGUGCAGAGCUGAGUAGCUGGUGUUUGCUUUGGUUGCUUCCUUGUUUAUGAAUCUACUAGCUUUGUGGGCAAAAAUGUAAACCUUUGAAUGACAAAAUGUGGUUCGAUUGGCCUGCUCGAUGGCCAGAGAUUUGCUUUUGACCAAUGUGGUUGUCGAAAGUGAUUACUCACUGGUUAUUAAGUUAUGUGUGUCUGAAAUGGUUCCCCCCUGGGAUUGCAUGGCCAUCUUUUCUGAUAUUAAUGGGCUCUCCCAAAUGAGGAAUGUGUCCUUCUGCUGGACGAGGCGUAGUUACAACAGAGUGGCGCAUUGCCUUGCCAAGGCUCAUACACACAGGUCUUUACCUGUUAACUGGGUUGUUUUGCCCCCUUUAGAGCUUUGUUCUCUUCUGCAUCAAGAUGUAAUGACUUCUCCUCUUUACUAUAUUUCCCAGUUUUGCUUGUUCAAAAAAAAAAAA